GCUGAAGGACUCGCUUUUCGCCGAGCUUGUGCCCGUCUUGGUCACUUGCCUUUCAUCGGUAUUUCAUGAUUAACUCCUGUGUAAAGGUACUUCUCUUGACUGGCUUUCUGGCAACAAUGGUGAUGCGUGUGCUCAAAAACGACUUCAAUAUAAGGAUCAUGUUCAGUAAGAUCUUAAAUGUGUAUUCUAUUUUCACACAUUAAUCGUCGCCUUAAAUGUUAGUAAUACGUGAUGUCAUAGGUGCUUACUGUUGAUUAUUCGUGGUGUACACUUCUGGAGAUAUCUCUUGUGACACUGCGCCCCCUACACAAGCAUAGUCCGCGCAUUCAGCAAGGCUCGGAGCUGAGAAUGGCGUGCCUAAUUAGUUGUCCAUUAGUACCAUGAAUAAUAAAUCAAUGUUAUUGUGUGCCCUAAUAACUUACGGAUUUGUUGUGUGACUGGUGUUGAUAUUGACCUGCAUCCCUUGAACUUGAUCAAGAAUAUUCUACUGAUCUAUUGCUUCAGAAGUUUCACCAUAAAAAUUACUUUUAUUUGAAGUAGAAUAAUCUUUUGAUCGAGUAAUUUUCCUAUUUUUUACACGCGCAAUUCUUCAUGAUAUUGUAUUUUUGUAAUUAAUUCUCGUGCAUAUGUAGUUUGAGAAAAUUGUUAAUCAACAACGUCAUGUUGAACACCUGUGUGAAAGGUUUUAUUCCAACAUACUUAAAUAAGUUGUUUUUGCAACUCUUUAGCAUUGUGAUGGUCUUGAUUUAUUAUCUUAGCAUCAUGUGGCAAGUCUGGCAUUUUUUCAAGGAUUCUUCUCACAUGAAGUUUAAAACGUGUCUCUUUUUUGUUUGUUAUUGAAACCUCAAAUCAGGUGGGAGAUGAGUAGUCAUUGGUUCACUUGUCAAAUUUUAGGCAUCAACGAUAAUAUGGUCUCAAGUGGAUGUUGCUUGAUGGAUUUGAGUCAUCUUCAACAAGUGGAAGACCCAAGUUGGUUUGCAUCUCUCCUCCUCUUGGAUUGCACGAUCUAUGCAGGACAUUCCCAUCGAGGUUUGUUUCUAUACAAUACUAUAGCACCAGAUUUGAUCUUUGACCACUCUAUUUUUAUAUUCUAUUUUGUAACCGUAUUGUUCAUAAUUGUUUGGCUGAGCUUGGUAAUAUUGUGGCUAGGCAGGGCUAUACAUAUGAAUGAAGCUGGCUCAUGUGAGGUUUCAGUUCAGGGCCUAGGCUAGGAUCCCUGCUUGUAAGAAUUUUAAACAACAGAGCUCCUGCCAUA